rnacentral:lncRNA from 1 species
GUGCUGUUGGGGUCGGGGGAGGGGGGUGUCUGUGGAACUUGCCCAGUGGAACUGAGGGCAAGUCUUGGAAUGUUAUAACAGCCACGUUUCUGUUCUACAGCCAAUCCCUGAAACUGGUCUCUUUCUCAGUCUGCUUCUUCUUCACCCAGCACGGUGUGAACGAGCCAUGCUGCAAGCUCCCUUAGCUAUGGAUCGAGCCACUCCAACUGCCAUGACCUCACCAUACAAUUGUGUCCCCGGCACUUCGGUAAUGUACGUGGUUAUCACUUGGUUAUACUGCCUUGUGACAGAGGCAUCGUUCAUCAUUUAAAAGCCCACAUCAGAAGAAGGUACUAAGAAAACGAGAAGUUCUUUCUGCAGUUACCUGCAGCUGAAACGUGGAGAGUGAACUAAGGAAGUAUGGCAGUGUGCUAAAAAAUAUCCAUAAAAAUCACAUAUAGGUAGUGGUUACCAGUGGCUGAAAUUGCAGGAGAGAAAGAUCUCACUUUUAAGUGACUCCUGAUGGAGCUACACGAUAUCAUGCGUAAAAAUGUAAAUUUCUUCUGCUGAAGAUAUUGCUAAGCAGAGAGAGAUACUCCAUGACAUCAUCAAAAAGCAAAAAUCGAAACCCCAAACGAGAGAAAUUCACGAGAUGAACGCUGAUGUUCCAAUUGACAGCAAGUACUAACUGGGCAUUUAAUAAGAUAAAUUGAUUAUUA